rnacentral:lncRNA from 1 species
GUGAGUGCUCUUUUCCAUUCAAUUAUGAGUCACCGAGGGCAGGGGUCAUGUCAUUAGCCUGUUUAUGAUGUUUAUUCUGUCUUCACCAUCUGGUGCCACUGCCAGUCACUGUUUGCACUUUUGAAUUGAAUAUGAAAGCAGAAGGUGACUUUUAUCAGCCAGAGGAGUAAACAAUGUUGUGGAGAGAUCAUGGCUCUGGAAAACAGGAAACCUGUGUUCUAUGCCCAACUCCGUGAGCACUCGUCCAUUUUCCCCCCAGGAUCAAUUCACAAUGAUGUUCAUCUGCUGCUGAGUGGCUUUUAGAACUUUUACAGACUCCAGAGUCAUCAAGGCUCACACCCUAAAUACCUGCUGAGUGGCAGAUCCUGUGGAGAAUAUAGCCCCUGCCUGCAAGGAGGCUAGGUUCCAGUAGUAGAGUUAAGAUGUAUACGUAAGUGGCAAUCAUGGGAACUUGAAUCUGUAGUCUAAUCUUAAACUGAUCGUAAGGAAUGAGAGACUU